rnacentral:rRNA from 1 species
GACGAACGCUGGCGGCGUGCUUAACACAUGCAAGUCGAACGAAGUGGCGAACGGGUGAGUAACGCGUAAUCAACCUGCCCUUCAGCGGGGGACAACAGUUGGAAACGACGGCUAAUACACCAUACGGAAGGAGGGGAUGGCGUCUGAUUAGCUAGUUGGAGGGGUAACGGCCAACCAAGGCGAGGAUCAGUAGCCGGUCUGAGAGGAGGAACGGGCAAAUUGGGACUGAGACACGGCCCAGACUCCUACGGGAGGCAGCAGGGGGGAAUCUUCCGCAAUGGACGAAAGUCUGACGGAGCAACGCCGCGUGAGUGAUGACGGCCUUCGGGUUGUAAAGCUCUGUUAAUCGGGACGCGGUACCGGAAUAGAAAGCCACGGCUAACUACGUGCCAGCAGCCGCGGUAAUAC